rnacentral:rRNA from 1 species
AUUGAACGCUGGCGGCAGGCUUAACACAUGCAAGUCGAACGAGUGGCGGACGGGUGAGUAAUGUCUGGGAAACUGCCUGAUGGAGGGGGAUAACUACUGGAAACGGUAGCUAAUACCGCAUACCAUCAGAUGUGCCCAGAUGGGAUUAGCUAGUAGGGGGGGUAAUGGCUCACCUGGGCGACGAUCCCUAGCUGGUCUGAGAGGAUGACCAGCCACACGGGAACUGAGACACGGUCCAGAUUCCUACGGAAGGCGGCAGUGGGGAAUAUUGCACAAUGGGCGCAAGCCUGAUGCGGCCAUGCGGGGUGGGUGAAGAGGGCCUUCGGGUUGUAAAGCACUUUCAGCGAGGAGGCGUUACUCGCAGAAGAAGCACCGGCUAACUCCGUGCCAGCAGCCGCGGUAAUAC